GACGAACGCUGGCGGCGUGCCUAAUACAUGCAAGUAGAACGCUGAAGGAGGAGCUUGCUUCUCCGGAUGAGUUGCGAACGGGUGAGUAACGCGUGGGUAACCUGCCUGGUAGCGGGGGAUAACUAGUGGAAACGAUAGCUAAUACCGCAUAAGAGUAGAUGUCGCAUGACAUUUGCUGGAAAGGUGCAACUGCACCACUACCAGAUGGACCUGCGUUGUAUUAGCUAGUUGGUGAGGUAACGGCUCACCAAGGCAACGAUACAUAGCCGACCGUAGAGGGGUGUCGGCCACCCUGGGACCGGGACCCGGCCCAGACUCCUACGGGAGGCAGCAGGAGGGAAUCUUCGGCAAUGGGCGGAAGUCUGACCGAGCAACGCCGCGUGGGUGAAGAAGGGUUUCGGGUCGUAAAGCUCUGUUGUGAGAGAAGAACGAGUGUUAGAGUGGAAAGUUCACACUGUGACGGUAUCUUACCAGAAAGGGACGGCUAACUACGUG
rnacentral:rRNA from 1 species